GGUUAACACUAAACUUUAAACAGUCCCUCUGUGUCUCUGUGUGUGCUGAACAUCUAGGAUUGAGUCAGGCUGCAUUGACUGUGGGACUUUAAUGUGUUAAAAGCAGGUUGAAGACGGCUCAGAAACAUUUCACGAUUAAAAUUUACAUUUAUUUAUUAAUUCAUUCAUUUAUGGCUGCUGGUGAUUUGUAAAGCCUCUACUCAGCUGUAUUUUUGUUACUAAUUUAUGUUUGUUGUUGUUUAACAAAGAUUUCAGAAGAGCAAAGAUGAGGACUCCUACUUCAUCCUUAAUAGUUUAACUGGAUUGGAAAUCAAAAAAAUCCUGAUUCUUCUUCCACAGAAGUUUCAUUUGUCAGUGUGGAUCUGCUGAGUCACCUGAAGAACUCAUUUCAUUCUCCAUGAUGUUGAUUUACAGAAAUGUUUCACAGGAACUGAUUCCUCCCAAAGGGUACAGUACGUGAUAUUAAGGGCAGGCGGUCAUCACUGGGGGAAGACAAGAAGCAGAUGUACUUCCAAGAGGGAGCUGCAGUGAGGACACAGCCUGGUCACUGAGGUCAGAGGAGGCGCUGAAAGGUUUCCCUAAUAGUUCCUGGUGAAUCAAAGCAGAACCAUAAAGGUUGCUGGACUGCAUGAUGGCCUUACCCCUGAGCAGUCAUCCUGUUAAAGGACCAACCAGUUAGAAGCUGUUUUCAAAGUAGCUGAGCAGAUUUCAUCUCAAUAGAUCAAAGCAGCUCGUGCUCUGUCUGCUUCCAUUCUGAUGGUAAGAAGAAGAAGAAGGAGAAGAAGAAGACUUCAGCGCAGUGGUGUUCAUGGUCUCAGUGGACAGUCAUGGUCACACACUGCAUGUGGUUUUAAAAGCAACAUGUCUGUUCACCACAACAAUGGAGAUGUGUAAUAUUAGAGCAGCUACGGUUUGUUCUUGAACAUCAGUUCUGUUUUCUACUUUGACCACUUAGACCAAAAAAGUGUUGUUUUCAGAUUCUUUCUUUUAAAUCUGUAAAGCACCUGUUCAUUUUUUAUUACAAUUAGUUUCACAUAAAUGUUAGUGUUUCCUUUAUGGUCUUUUAAUGCUUACACUAGACUGUACACGUCUACAUUAGAGACAUUUCUGUUACCUAUGUAUGAGACUGGGCUGCUUUACUACAAUUUGGAAAUGGAUGCAAAAUCGUGCUAUUGUUUGUUUUUUAAUAUGAUUCGAUUCAAUUCAAUAAAACUUUAUUGAUCCUGAAGGUUGACCCCGAGGGAAAUUUGGGUUAAGGCCAACACAGGACGUGUCUGACUAAGCAAAGAUUAAUCUGAUCCCAUUUCUACCUGUCUCUACUGUUUCAACUGUAACUGUCAGGAUAUAUAUUUAUUCCAGCUCUCACAGGGCAAAGGAAUGACUCAGACGUGUCAAAUGUUCUUUGACUUGAUAAACAAUUUGAAGUUCACAAUUUUCUUACAAAUAAAACUUUA